rnacentral:rRNA from 1 species
GCUSCUACCGAUUGRAUGDYCCGGUGAGGUUUUUGGAUUAGCACUCUGUAGUUGGCAACAACUCGUUGUGCCGAAAAGAUACCCUAACCUUAUCAUUUAGAGGAAGGAGAAGUCGUAACAAGGUCUCCGUAGGUGAACCUGCGGAGGGAUCAUUA